AUAUGUCUGAGAUCAAGGCUGUGGUUUUGGAUGCAGAGGAGCAGCAGGGAACCAACAACCAUCAAGUUCAACUCUGGCUGGAAAAGCUCAAAGAUGCUCUUGAUGAUGCCGAUGACUUGCUCGAUGACUUUAACACUGAAGACUUGAGGCGACAAGUCAUGACCAGUAACAAGAAGGCUAAAAAGUUUUACAUCUUCUUCUCAUCAUCCAACCAGCUUCUCUUUUCUUACAAAAUGGUUCAGAAAAUUAAGGAACUUAGUAAGAGAAUUGAGGCUCUUAAUGUUGGUCAGAGAAUUUUUAAUUUUACAAAUCGUACACCUGAGCAACGAGUUUUGAAACAACGAGAAACUCACUCCUUUAUUCGUGAGGAAGAAGUUAUUGGAAGAGAUGAGGAGAAGAAAGAGUUGAUAGAGUUGUUGUUUAACACCGGCAACAAUGUGAAAGAGAAUGUUUCAAUUAUUUCUAUAAUUGGAAUUGGAGGACUUGGAAAGACUGCACUUGCUCAACUUGUAUACAAUGACAAAGAAGUGCAACAACAUUUUCAGUUGAAAAAGUGGGUUUGUGUUUCUGAUGAUUUUGAUGUAAAAGGUAUUGCAUCAAAGAUCAUAGAAUCUAAAACUAAUGAUGAGAUGGAUAAAGUGCAAUUGGAGCUCCGUGAAAAAGUUGAAGGAAGAAGAUAUUUGCUUGUCUUGGAUGACAAUUGGAAUGAGGAUCGUGAUCUUUGGCUUGAAUUGAUGAGACUGCUGAAAGGCGGAGCAAAAGGAAGUAAAAUAAUUAUCACCGCAAGAAGUGAGAAGGUUGCCAAGGCAAGUGGUACAUCUUCUAUCUUCAAUUUAAAGGGUCUGGAUGAAAAACAAUCUUGGAGAUUAUUUAGUCAAUUAGCUUUUGAGAAUGACAAAGAACAGGAGAAUGAGGAAUUUGUGUCAGUUGGCAAGGAAAUUGUGAAAAAAUGUGCGGGUGUUCCUCUCGCCAUUAGAAGCAUUGGAAGCUUAAUCUAUUCCAUGCGGAAGGAGGAUUGGUCAACAUUCAAGAACAAAGAUCUUAUGAAAAUUGAUGAACAAGGUGAUAAUAAAAUUUUUCAGCUUAUCAAACUAAGUUAUGAUCAUCUACCAUUUCAUUUGAAAAAGUGCUUUGCUUUUUGUUCAUUGUUUCCAAAAGACUUUUUAAUUUGUAAAAUAACAUUGAUUCGACUUUGGAUUGCACAAGGGUUUGUUCAGUCAUCAUCAGAUGAAAGUACAAGUUUAGAAGAUAUUGGUGAUAAGUACUUCAUGGAUUUAGUUCAUAAAUCUUUCUUUCAAAAUAUCACCGAAGAUAACUAUUAUGGCAGUGUGAGUUGCCAAAUGCAUGAUAUUGUGCAUGAUCUGGCAAGUGUUAUUUCAAGAAAUGAUUGUCUUUUAGUUAAUAAAAAGGGGCAGCAUAUUGAUAAACAACCUCGUCAUGUCUCUUUUGGCUUUAAAUUGGAUUCUUCCUGGCAAGUUCCAACUUCUCUUCUCAAUGCUUACAAAUUAAGGACAUUUCUGUUACCACAACUUGGGAAUCCAUUGACUUAUUAUGGUGAAGGUUCAAUAGAAUUGUCUGCCUGUAAUUCCAUCAUGUCAAGUUCUAGACGAUUUCGUGUGCUGAAUCUUAACAUAGAAUCAAAGAAUAUUCCAUCUUGUAUUGGUAGAAUGAAACAUCUAAGGUAUCUUGACCUUUCUUAUUGUAGAAUGGUUGAGGAGCUCCCAAGGUCAAUAACUGAUUUAGUUAACUUGGAGACUCUUUUACUUAAUUGGUGUACUCACUUGAAAGAGUUGCCCAAAGAUCUUUGGAAAUGGGUAAGACUUAGGCAUCUUGAGUUGGAUUAUUGUGAUGACUUAACUUCUAUGCCACGUGGAAUAGGAAAGAUGACUAAUCUUCAAACACUUACACAAUUUGUGUUAGAUACGACUUCUAAAGAUAGUGCUAAAACUAGUGAGCUAGGAGGAUUACAUAACUUGAGGGGACUACUCGAGAUAACUGGCUUGGAACAUUUGAGGCAUUGUCCAACAGAAGCUAAGCAUAUGAAUUUAAUAGGGAAGUCACAUCUUCAUCGAUUGAGAUUGAAGUGGAAACAACACACUGUUGGUGAUGGCAAUGAGUUUGAAAAGGAUGAAAUAAUUCUACAUGACAUUCUGCACUCCAAUAUCAAGGCAUUAGUAAUAAGUGGAUUCGGUGGUGUGACAUUGUCAAGUUCGCCCAAUUUAUUACCAAAUUUGGUUGAAUUGGGCUUAGUCAACUGUUCGAGAUUGCAAUAUUUUGAACUCUCACUGAUGCAUGUCAAACGCCUUGACAUGUAUAAUUUGCCUUGCCUGGAGUACAUAAUCAAUGAUAGCAAUAGUGAUAACUCAUCAUCAUUUUGUGCGUCACUCACAUAUAUAGUUCUCUUUCAGUUAAAUAAUCUUAAAGGAUGGUGUAAGUGUAGCGAAGAAGAAAUCUCAAGGGGUUGUUGUCAUCAGUUUCAGAGUCUUGAAACCUUAUUGAUUAAUGAUUGUUAUAAGCUAGUUUCAAUUCCACAACACACAUAUAUCAGGGAAGUAGAUCUUUGUAGAGUAUCUUCAGAUAUAUUACAGCAACUAGUCAAUCAUUCCAAAGUAGAGUCUCUUAAUAUAGAAUCCAUACUCAAUUUGAAAUCUCUUAGUGGAGUCUUUCAACAUCUAGGUACACUCUGUGAAUUGCGUAUCCUCAAUUGCGAGGAGUUUGAUCCGUGCAAUGAUGAAGAUGGUUGUUACAGCAUGAAAUGGAAAGAACUCUCGAACCUCAAAUUGUUGAUUUUCAAAGAUAUCCCAAAAAUGAAAUAUUUGCCUGAGGGGCUUCAGCACAUUACCACUUUACAAACUCUAAGAAUCAGAAAUUGUGAGAAUCUUACAUCUAUACCUGAAUGGGUAAAAUCACUACAAGUAUUAGAUAUCAAAGGUUGCCCGAAUGUGACGUCUCGGCGGCAUGUGUAGAUGUGGAACAUCAAUACGUUCUACAACAAGGUAAAUAAAUUGUUUUGAAUAUAUUAUCAUAUCAUGACAUGAUUUCUAGCUAGCUCUUGGCGAUUCUUUUAUGAGAAUUGAUGUUCCCACAUUUGGUUUGGCUAUGCCACACGAGUAAUUUAUCCAAAUGCCCCUCGGCAGUUAACUGCCGAAUUAUGAAACCGGCUGCAGUAACUGCCGAGAAAAACUUUGGUAGUAAACUACCGAGGAAAACUGAAAACUUCGGCAGUUAACUGCCGAGGAAACCUCAAAUCAGUUUUUUUUUUAUUCAUUGAGAAUAUUCCGCGGUCUUUAUCAUUUUUGAUUGAUUUUUCUUAAUAAUUCGUUUUUAAUUUUGUUGAUUUGCCUUCCUUAUUUAUUUUAAUUGUAUUAUUCCUUUAAUUUUUUUUUGUUAUAACUGUUUUGAUCUUCAACAAUAGUGAAUAUUUUAUUUCCAAAGAACUUUCACGGAAUUUUCUUCUUUUAUUUCCUUUUUACGGAAAUAUUCACAAUUAUUUUAAUUGUAUUACUCAUUUUUCUUUUUUUGCCUAUUUUAUUUCCAAAGAACUUUCACGAAAUUUUCUUCUUUUAUUUCCUUUUUCUUUGUUUUAGGCUUAACAUUUAAGUCCUCAAAAAACAUUUCAAUAAGUGUAAAAAUUAAGUAUUUGAAUAUUAUUUUGCAAAUUACUUAAAUAAAAAAAAUCUUUGUACACAAUUAUUUUAAUGUAGAAAAUAUAACAACAUAUUAUACCUUAAAAAAAAUCGUUGUGCACAAUUAUUUUUACGAUUUUUUUAUUGUUAUUUGUAUUUAAGUAAUGUGCAAAAUAAUAUUCAAAUGCUUAAUUUUUACACUGAUUUAAAUGUUAUUCUUAUUAAGAUAUAUACACAUAUAAUUCUGCAAUUGUUUAAAAUGUACCAAAAUAAUGAUUGAAACAUUCAAAAUCAAUAAAUAUUAUUAAAGACAACUUAUGGUUUUUGUCAAAAAAAAAAAAAAAGAUUUGUUAUUAAUGACAAUUUAUGGAUUUUGUCAAAAAAAAAAAAACAGGUUUGAGGUUUCCUCGGCAGUUAACUGCCGAAUUUUGUUUUUCCUCGGUAGUUUACUGCCGAAGUCUUCCUCGGCAGUUAAUUGCAGCCGUAUUUCUAAAACUUCGACAGUUAACUGCCGAGGGGCAUUUGGGUAAAUUACUCGUGUGGCAUAGCCAAACCAAAUGUGGGAACAACAAUUCUCUUCUUUUAUCAUAUCAAAACCCUCCUUAUUUAGAGGAACUAAAAAAAUUUAUUGGGGGAGGGUUUUAGGAGGUUUUGGAGGGUUAAUAAGAAUUUUUUAAAUUUAAUCUAUGUUGUUAUUAUAUUUUUAAAAUUAAAAAUAAAGUAAUCAUAUGCAUUAAUUUAAUCUAUAUAUGUUGUUAUUAUAUUUUUCUCAUAUUUGUUUUACAAUUAUAAAGUAUUAUUUAUGUUGUUGCUCGUCAUCCAUAAUAAUCUACUAUGUUUAUUUUUCAUGGCAGAUUGAAACUUAUGUUAAUUGCGUGUCUCAUUUCAAGAUUGUUUCUCAGAAACCAGAACGUGUCUUUACAUUUUACUUUCAAUACAGUUUGAUAAAAUACUUUGGGAUUUUUAAGAUGAUUGAUUGUAAUAUUGUAUUGUUCAACUCUUUUUUGUGUUUCAGAUAUUGUACUUGUUUAAUUUACUUCAAGUAUUCAUAAAUGUUUGGGAGAAAUGGUUAAUCACCAAUUUUGUUCAUGAAAGUUUAAAGGAAUGUUAAUUUGUUGUAAAAAAAUAAAUAAAUAUUGAGGAAGGGAAAUAUUAUGCAUAUCCUACCACACCUUAUUUACUUCCCUUCCUAAUUUUUUACAUGAAGCUAUUGAAUGUCUAAUAAACAAAUCAUAAAGUUCACUGUAUAUACUAUUAUAUUACAAAACAAUCCAAUAUAUAGUGACAAUUCUAGAAAAAAUGAGAAUAGUUAACAACUGAAGCCAUGGCACACAGAAAGAACAAUAAUGAGAAUCAAUGCAAUUAUGAUAGCAAGAACUAUGAGCUUGAUCUUCAUGUUUUGAUACUAUUUCAAUUGACAUUCCAAUAAAUAACUGAUAACAAAUCAAUCCAAUAGUGCUAGAGUUUCAAGAUUUUAUUUAAAUGGAAUUAUUGGAUUUGGUUGCAUCUGAUCUAAAAACAAAGUAUUUUUUAUCAAAAAAAGAAAAGAAUCAAUCAGAAUCAAAUAAACUAAGCUCGAACCCCAGUGAUCCCUAAGGCAUCAACAAGAAAACUAGACUUGAGAAUUUGGGAGCAACCCGAUGAUUCAGAACGACCAAGAGAUUUGGACACUACAGCUCCAUCCAAAACUUUAAAACAUUGGGAUAUGAAUCACAUGUCUUAUAUAUAACAUUGACUAUGUUCAUAGUCGAUGUAAACUAACGACUCGCACUUGAACCAAACAAGGACGUAUUCAAGUUCAAUUCCAGAACUAAAUACUAUAUGCAUGAGAUUAAUUAGGUGAGGCCUAUGUUACCCUCUCUUGUUUAGAGGGUAAUUUACCCUCUCAUGAUAUCAACCAAUCAAAAUGUAAUAUACAUAGGUAUCAUUAAUUGUCAAAUAAAUGAAUAGAUUUUUUCUAAAAAUAAAAGAGUUAAUCUUAAUUAUUAUUUUUUUGAAGGAGGGUUAAUCUUAAUUAUAAGCUAACUUUUAAUACUUUUAAUUUUUAUUUAAUUUAAUUUUUUUUGAAAUAACAAAUGAUAUAAUUUUUUUUUAUAUUAAGAUGUUCAAUCUUAAUUAAUUUACACUACAAGACUUAUAACAAAUUCCUUCGAAAAAAAAAAGAUUUAUAACAAAUAAAAUUUCACAUCAAAUUUCUUUCAUCUGGAUGUCCUUAAAUUCAUCAUUUACAUUCAUAAAAUUUCUUCCAUUCCAGAACCCCGAGAACAAAAACAUCUCCUUCUUUCAAAUUUCUUCUUCUUUAUUCUUCCAUAUUGAUCAAUUUUUGUUUCUUUUUCAUUCUUCUUCCCAUUUUGAUUGUUCAAUUUUGUCGCUCCAAAUUGCCGCAAUUUCCAAUUAUCGUGAGAAUUGUCGUUGUUUCUAGAAUCGCAUCAGGUAUCGUGACUUAUUUUUUUUUAUUUAAGCAGCCAACCUAAUAAAAUCUGUUAACACGCAUAUAUUUGUCUCACAGCCUUUAAGUCCAAAUAAAAGAACAAAAGUCUCAUCACAUAACCAUUUCAGCAGCAACCAAAAAAAUGCUAGCAAACUCUCACAACAUCACAACGGCAACACCUGCUAGCAGCCCUCAAAGUAUACAACAGAUGAUUUACUCAAUUGUUAUAAUUAACUACCUCACAAUCAAGAAAAAUCAAAUCAAAAAGAAAAAUCAAGUCAUCAUACCUAACGUUGGAAAUAACGGCAAUUCUCACGAUAUUUGAAAUCAUGACGAUUCUCACGAAAAUUGAAAAAUGCGGCAGUUGGGAACGACGAAAUUGAACAAUCAAAAUGGGAGGAAUAAAUUUUAUGAAUAUAACUGAUAAAUUUAAAUGCAUUCAGAUGAAAGAAAUUUGAUGUGAAAUUUUAAUUGUUCUAAGUCAGUCAUGUAGUGUAAAUUAAUUAAGAUUGAACACCUAAAUAUAAUUAAGGCAAUAUUAUAUUAUGGGUCAUUUAUCUUAUUUAUUUGUAACACUUUGGUCAUUUGUCUUUAUUUUUUCCGUUUAGGUCAUUUAUCUCUCUUAAAAGCACAUAUACAUCUUUUUUCGCAUUUUUUUUAUUAAAAAAUUCAUAAUUUUAUUUUUAAAAAUAUAUUUUUAUUAAAACUGAAAAAAAAAAUCCAAAAAUAUGAUGAAGAUGUUCAUCAUCUUCAUCUUCUUCCUUUGAAUCUUUAACAUCUUCUUUAAAUAAAAAAAAUUCUACUAAAAUAUAUCUUCAAAUAUCGUGAAUUAUUGUUAUAUUCACCUCAAAUUUUAUUUUAAACACAAAAAUCAAAACCUUAAUUUCACAAAUGUUGCAAGGUGGAUGGUGGAGCCUUAGUCACUGGCGGAAGGGUUAGGCUUUACGAAAGUUAAGAUUGUUCUAGAAACAACAAAAUUGAUGUGCAAAGCUGCUAUCAAUUUUGGAGUUAUUUUCAUGUCGGGCUUGAAUAUUGAGUUAGAAAAUAAUAAUAAUAAUAAUAAUAAUAAUAAUAAUAAUAAUAAUAAUAAUAAUAUACAGCGUGACAAUUUAUAUAACUAAUUUUUAUUUUUUUUGGUGAUGAAACUAAAUUUCUUUCUCUAUAGAGGUUUGAUUUUUGUGUUUAAAAGAAGAUUUGAGGUGAAUAUAACAUUAAUUCAUGAUAUUUAGAGAUAUAUUUGUGUAGAAAUUUUUUUGAUUCAAUGAAGAUGAUGAAGAUUCAAAGGAAGAAGAUGAAGAUGAUGAUCAUAUUUAUGAAUUUGUUUCAUUUUUAAUAAAAAGAUAUUUUAAAAAAUAAAAUUAUGUAUUUUUUUUAAUAAAAAAAAUGAGAAAAAGGAUGUAUAUGUGCUUUUAUAAGAGAUAAAAGACCUAAGCGGAAAAAAAAAUAAAGAUAAAGGACCCAAGUGUAACAAAUAAAUAAGAUAAAUGAUCUCUAAUUCAAUCAUGUCUAUAAUUAAAUAAAAAUUAAAAGUGUUAAAAGUUACCUUAUGAUUAUAAUUGAUUCUUUUUUUAGAAAAAAAUUGACUCAUUUAUGACAUUUAAUGUUGCUUACAUUUUGAUUGGUUGAUAUCAUGAAAGGGUAAAAUACCCUCUAAAUAAGAGAGGGUAAUCUAGAAAAAACCUGUAAUUAACUAUACGUAAUUAAAUACAAACUUUCCUCCAUAAAAUACCCUCUAAAUAAGAGAGGGUAAUCUAGAAAAAACCUGUAGGUUUGGCUCAAUUGUGACUAAAAACAAACAAUAAAAUUAAGAAUCUAACCUAAGAGCGAAGGUUCUCAGGUUUAUCCACCAAAACCUCAAUCUUCUCUCCCCUAUCAAUAACCUGCAAAUAACAUAUAAUACCAUUAUGACUUGCCACAUGAUAUUAAAUGAAAUUCUAGAGACAAUUAAAUAGCUAUGAAGCAUCAAAACAUACACGAACACCAAACACUCGAUAUGCCAAUGACAUGUAGAUACCGAAGAGUUCUUCAAUAUGAAGUGUCAGUUCUAUUUUGUCGGACAGUCGUAAAGGUGUAAGUAUUAAUAUGUGCAGCAAUCAAUGCAAUACCUUGUCGAUAUUUUCCAUCAUAACUCCUUUGACUUCAGAAACUUGUGCUUUCACUUUAGCAAGUUUUCUAACCUCCUCCGGAUGUUCCACACAAUACUGUAUCUGCUCCUUCAACUUUGGUCUAAAGCAUAUAUAUCAUAAGUAUUAUAAAGUAAUUAACAUGUAAAUAUAUGUUGCACAAGAAGAUAAAGUACCCAAAUUCUUUGUUAAGACUUUUAGCAGUUGCUGUUGUAGCUCUUCCUCCACCAUAUUUUUUAUUAAAAUCAUCUUUAAUACGUUCAAGAAAAGCUAUUGGAAUUUGUCUACCAACAGACUCCACUGCAACAACACAGUAAGCUGCAAAAUUCCACUAAUCAUGAAACAUGUUCAACAGAAAAAGGAAAACAAUAUAGAAGAUCUUUUCUUUUCUUUUUUUGAAAUAGAAAACAAUAUAGAAGAUCUAAUGAGCCAGAAAAAAUAUGGGUGAACAAAUUAAAAUCAUAAAUUUGAAGAUAGGGAGGGUCAUUUUUAAAAUUAUAGCACCAUGAACAAUUUAAGCAAGGAUGAUCACUGCAUGUUUUUUUUUUUUGGUAGCCGGAGUUUGAACCCCACACCUUGCAUAUAUAUUAUACAUUUUCUCUACCAACUGAGUUAAGCUCACGAGGACGAUCACUGCAUGUUUAUUUUAACAAACAAAAUUUCACUUUUUAGAACUUUUUAUUAGUGAGCUUCAACUUAUGGAAAUAAUUAGAAUUGAAAAAGACAAAAAGUAAGAUUUGAUUUAAAUGAAAAUAUAAAUUAUUAGUAACUUCUAAAAAAGAAAUAAUCAAAUUUUAUCAAGGGUUAAAUAUGUUUUUGGUCCCUAUAAAAUUUGGAUUCUUUAAGUUUUAUCCUUACUUAAUUUUAAUAGUUCUUUUAGUUCCUAAAAAAAUUUCUACACUCAAUAUUAGUCCCUCCUCGAUUCAAAUUAUUUGUUUAAUUUAUGUUUACACUCUUUUUGAACAAUUUUUCACAGACGUGUUAAGCACAUUACUAAAAUUCCUCUGCAAAAAAUUGACGCAUAUUUUGAUUUCUACGUCCAAAUUUUGUUAAUUUUAUCUUUAACUUUUGCCGUUUUAAAAUAUUCAUAUUUAAUUCGUUUCAUCUUAAAAAAAUCUAAACUUUAGUAAUUGAACCUUUUAUAGUGUUCUAAACUUGUCUAAAAAAAGUUGUUCAAAAAUUUUAAGAGUUUAAGGAUAAUUAAACAAACUUUGUUGUAACAGGGACUAAAAUUAAAAGUAAUUUUUUUGUAAGGACUAAAAAACCUAUUAAAAUUAAGUAAAGAAUAAACUUUGAAAUUCUUAAUUUUAUAGGGACUAAAAACAUAUUUAACCAUUUUAUCAAUUGAGUUUAAAAAAAGCAAUUUUCAUCAUUAUAUCAGAGGCAAAUUAACUUGAGUUUUUUCACACAAAAAUCUCCAAAGCAUCAUUGGAUUAUUUUAUUACUUUACCUAAAAUCAUAUUUUAUUUUUAAAAGUCUUAAACAAGUUGUCCUUAGCCAGCUGUUGACAAUUGAUUCAUUAAUAAAAGGCCUAAAUAUGUAAAGUGUCCUUGUAGUUUGCUGUGUUUUUGCUUUUCGUCUCUGUAUCUUUCUUUUUUCAAAACUGUCCGUGUAAGUUGUUAACGUUAUGCUUUUCAUCCCUCCCGUUAGCUUCUGUUACAAAAACGUACACAUGACUAACAUAUGAUGAUGAUGUGGUAGUGGUUGACAUGGCCGCCGUGGCAAAGUGGAUGAUGAGUCACCAGGGAGAGGGACCAAAACCAAAAAACUAAAUUUGUUGAGGGAUCAAAACCAAAAAACGAAAAAAUCGAAAAAUUCAAAUUUAAAAAUAACAACUUUACCAUCUUCUUCAUAUCUUUCUUCCACCAUUUUCAUCUUAGUCGCACAUAUUCACAGUUUCUUCUACCCAUAUCCUUCAUUUAUAAGUCAAUGUAUUCUCCACAAAAUAGACCAUUAAAUAAUGCAAGACUAUUGAAUCUAAUAGUGAAUCACCAACGCAUAAUUUUGCUUUCCUUUCUUCAUCUUCUACCUUCCAUUGAACUUCAUACCAUAGUCAUGAGCAUCAAGGAAAAAACUCCAGAAAAAAAAAAAAUUCAACAAAUCACCAUCAUAGCCCACAAAGAAAUGCAGCACCACCAGCACAAAUUAGAAGAAAAAAAUUACAACAGUAUCAUCACCACAAUUAUCAUCAACAUUAUCACUCACCACAGUCAUCGUCAACACAAAAUUUCAUUUCAUAAAAAAAUUGAAACCGUAUCAAUGACAAACUUAGAGAAUUAUAUCCAUAAGCCAAAGAAUGAAGGGAAAUUAAAAGGGUGAGAAAGUGGAAGUAAGUAUCUGAAAAAAUGUAGUGAAUCAUAUCCAGAAGAUCUAUCAACAACAAACCAUGAUUAACAAAUAAUGCUUUUGUUCAAAUUUUCAUAGAAAGGGUAGUCUUUUAGCUGUUGUUUGCUUAAGUAUGGUUAUAAUUUGACUAGUUUUCUUCUUUAGGUCUUUUCCUUUCUUGGGAUUGAUCCGGAUUCUCUUUUAAUAGGUUUUACUCUAUGUAUCUCUGUUGUAUUGGUUGAGGCCUAUCCUGUCUUUUAUAUUUUAUUACUUUGAUAAAUCAAUUAUUCCCCGCAACCCAAAAAAUCCAGCAAUUAUAAAUAACGAAUUAAUGAAUUUUUUUAAUGAUUUUGUUUUGUAAUUUGAUUUUGAAGGAUUUUUUUUAUGAUUCUGGGUUUCAAAUUUUUACGGGCAAGAUUAUGAAAAUGAGGAAUGAUUAUGGGUUUCAAUUUUUACGGGCAAGAUUAUGAAAAUGAGGAUGAAGAUGGAGAAGAUGACGAGGGAAGAAGAAGAGGUGAUAGCUAGGUUUCAUGAAGAUUUAUUUUUUCUCGGCUAUAUGUGCUAUUUAACAUAUAAUUUAUAUGUGGAGUUUUAGCAUGAAUGGAGGAUAUGGGUAGAAGAAAUAGUGAAUAUGUGCGGCUAAGAUGAAAAUGGUUGAAGAAAAUAUAUGAAGAAGAUGGUAGAAUUGUUAUUCUUAAAUUUGAAUUUUUCGACUUCUCAUUUUUUUGUUUUGGUCCCUCUACAAAAAAUUUUUUUUUUUUUUGGUUUUGGUCUUUCUCUGUGUGGCUCAUCAUCCUAGCUAACGGGGGGACGAAAAGCAUAACAUUAACAACUUAGAGGAAUGAUUUUUUUUUAUUUUUUUUUUAAAAAAAAAGAUACAAUGUUGAAUUGAAAAAACACGCGAACUUAAGGAUUCAUGAUUGUUAAAAUCUAAUUUCAAUUGAUGGUUAUUAGUUAAAAAUGUACCGAUUGCUAUCAUUAUUCUAAAUCCAAGUAACAGUUUAUGCUCUUUGCAUCUUUUGUUAGUUCACCUUUGUAUUGAAUUUGUGACCGCAUGACUCAUAGUGUUUUGUUUUUUUAGGGAUGUCAUUAAAAAAGAAUAUAUCAUAUUCUGCACAUACACUAUCUAUCCAUUAUUGCUCCUUGAAUUAUUGCCAUUACUUUUGCUAGUACUUGCUAGUACGUUGUUUCUUUUGUCUAUCAAUUAUUGCUCCUUUAAUUAUUGCUAUCGUUAUUAUUUAUCAAAUAUUAAAUAAAAAAUACACAAAGUAUGAUUGAUUUCUUGAAUAUCACUUUCGCUUCAAAAAAAUCAGACGCUUAGUAAACUAUAUCAUAUCUCUAUAACUCUAUAAGGAUUCAUGAUUGUUAAUAUCUAAUUUCAAUGGUUUGGAAACUAAAUUGAUGGUUAUUUGUUAAAAAAUGUACUGCGUGCAGUCAUUAUUCUCAGUUAAGAUAGCAAUAGAAGAUAACUCAUCAUUUUGUGCGUUACUCACAUAUAUUAUAUUUUGCACAUACAGUUUCUAUCAAUUAUUGCUACUACUAGCAUGUUGCUUUUGUCUAUCAAUUAUUGCUCCUUGAAUUAUUGCUAUUGCAUAUUCUGUUUUAUUGUUAUUAUUUAUCAUAAAUAAAAUAAAAUAAAAAAUACACAAGUUCUUGAAUAUCAUUUUUCCUUUAAAAAAAACAGACACUUUGUAAACUAUAUCAUAUCUCUUUGAAUUAUUGCUAUAUCAUAUUCUGUGUGAAUUCAAUCUAUCAAAAGCCAUUGCUCCUUAUCCACUUGAGAGAAAAAUGGCUGAAGGACUUCUGUUUAACAUGAUUGAUAAGCUGAUCGGGAAGCUGGGUUCUAUGGUUGUUGAAGGCUGGAACAUGAGAGAUGAUCUUCAAAAGCUGGUGGAGAAUAUGUCUGAGAUCAAGGCUGUGGUUUUGGAUGCAGAGGAGCAGCAAGGAACCAACAACCAUCAAGUUCAACUGUGGUUGGAAAAGCUGAAAGAUGCUCUUGAUGAUGCCGAUGACUUGCUCGAUGACUUUAACACGGAAGACUUGAGGCGACAGGUGAUGACCAGUAACAAGAAGGCUAAAAAGUUUCACAUCUUCUUCUCAUCAUCCAACCAGCUUCUCUUUUCUUACAAAAUGGUUCAGAAAAUUAAGGAACUUAGUAAGAGAAUUGAGGCCCUUAAUGUUGCUAAGAGAGUCUUUAAUUUUACAAAUCGUGCACCUGAGCAACGAGUUUUGAGAGAAAGAGAAACUCACUCCUUUAUUCGUGAGGAAGAAGUUAUUGGAAGAGAUGAGGAGAAGAAAAAGUUGAUAGAGUUGUUGUUUAACACCGGCAACAAUGUGAAAGAGAAUGUUUCAGUUAUUUCUAUAAUUGGAAUCGGAGGACUGGGGAAGACUGCGCUUGCUCAAUUUGUAUACAAUGACAAGAAAGUGAAACAACAUUUUGAGUUUAAAAAAUGGGUUUGUGUUUCUGAAGAUUUUAAUGUAAAAGUUAUUGCUGCAAAGAUCAUAAAAUCUAACACUACAGCUGAGAUAGAAGAAGUGCAAUUGGAACUCCGCGAUAAAGUUAAAGGCAAAAGAUAUUUGCUUGUCUUGGAUGACAAUUGGAAUGAGGAUCGUAAUCUUUGGCUUGAAUUGAUGACACUGCUGAAAGAUGGCGCAGAAGGAAGUAAAAUAAUUAUCACCGCAAGAAGUGAGAUGGUUGCCAAGGCAAGUGGUUCUUCUUUCACCUUGUUCUUACAGGGUCUCGGUGAAAAACAAUCUUGGACAUUAUUUAGUCAAUUAGCUUUUGAGAAUGAGAGAGAACUAGAGAAUGAGGAAUUGGUGUCAAUUGGCAAGGAAAUUGUGAAGAAAUGUUCAGGGGUUCCUCUCGCCAUCAGAAGCAUUGGAAGCUUAAUGUAUUCCAUGCAGAAGGAGGAUUGGUCAUCAUUCAAGAACAAAGAUCUUAUGCAAAUUGAUGAACAAGGUGAUAAAAUUUUACAGCUUAUCAAACUAAGUUAUGAUCAUCUACCAUUUCAUUUGAAAAAGUGCUUUGCUUUUUGUUCAUUGUUUCCAAAAGACUAUUUAAUUGAUAAAACAAAAUUGAUUCGACUUUGGAUUGCACAAGGGUUUGUUCAGUCAUCUGAUGAAAGUACAAGUUUAGAAGAUAUUGGUGAUAAGUACUUCAUGGAUUUAGUUCAUAAAUCUUUCUUUCAAAAUAUCACUGAAGAUAACUUCUUUUAUGGCAGUGUGAGCUGCCAAAUGCAUGAUAUUGUGCAUGAUCUGGCAAGUUUUAUUUCAAGAAAUGACUAUCUUUUAGUUAAAGAAAAGGGGCAACAUAUUGACAGACAACCUCGUCAUGUCUCUUUUGGCUUUGAAUUGGAUUCUUCCUGGCAAGCUCCAACUUCUCUUCUCAAUGCUCACAAAUUAAAGACAUUUCUAUUACCGCUACACUGGAUUCCAAUAACUUAUUUUAAAGGUUCAAUAGAAUUGUCUGCUUGUAAUUCCAUCCUGGCAAGUUCUAGACGAUUUCGUGUGCUGAAUCUUAGCUUCAUGAAUUUAACGAAUAUUCCAUCUUGUAUUGGUAGAAUGAAACAGCUAAGGUAUCUUGAUCUUUCUUGUUGUUUUAUGGUUGAAGAGCUCCCAAGGUCUAUAACUGAAUUAGUUAACUUGGAGACUCUUUUACUCAAUAGGUGUUCUAAAUUGAGAGAGUUGCCCAAAGAUCUUUGGAAGUUGGUAAGUCUUAGACAUCUUGAGUUGGAUCUUUGUCAUAACUUAACUUCUAUGCCACGUGGAAUAGGAAAGAUGACUAAUCUUCAAAGAUUGACACACUUUGUGUUAGAUACAACUUCUAAAGACAGUGCUAAAACUAGUGAACUAGGGGGAUUACAUAACUUGAGGGGACGACUCGUGAUAAAAGGCUUGGAACAUUUGAGGCAUUGUCCAACAGAAGCUAAACAUAUGAAUUUAAUAGGGAAGUCACAUCUUCAUCGAUUGACAUUGAAUUGGAAGGAAGACACUGUUGGUGAUGGCAAUGAUUUUGAAAAAGAUGAUAUGAUUCUACAUGACAUUCUACACUCCAAUAUCAAGGAUUUAGAAAUAAAUGGAUUUGGUGGUGUGACAUUGUCUAGUUCGGCCAAUUUAUGUACAAAUUUGGUUGAAUUGUAUGUAUCCAAAUGCACAAGAUUGCAAUAUUUCAAACUCUCACUGUUGCAUGUCAAACGCCUCCAAAUGUAUAAGUUGCCUUGCCUGGAGUACAUAGUGAAUGAUAGCAAUAGUGAUAACUCAUCAUCAUUUUGUGCGUCACUCACAGAUAUAGCUCUCUUUCAGUUAAAUAAUCUUAAAGGAUGGUGUAAUUGUAGCGAAGAAGAAAUCUCAAGGGGUUGUCGUCAUCAGUUUCAGAGUCUUGAAAGAUUAUCGAUUAAAUAUUGUCCUAAUCUAGUUUCAAUUCCACAACACAAACAUGUCAGGAAAGUAAUGCUUUCAAAUGUCACAGAGAAGAUAUUACAGCAAGCAGUCAAUCAUUCCAAAGUAGAGUAUCUUGAUAUAGGUUUCAUACUCAAUUUUAAAUCUCUCUGUGGUGUCUUUCAACAUCUAAGUACACUGUCUGAAUUGUGUAUCGAAAAUUGCGAGGAGUUUGAUCCGUGCAAUGAUGAAGAUGGUUGUUACAGCGUGAAAUGGAAAGAACUUACGAACCUCAAAUUGUUGCAGUUCUAUGAAAUCCCAAAAAUGAAAUAUUUACCUGAGGGGCUUCAACACAUUACCACUUUACAAACUCUAAGAAUAUGGAAUUGUGAGAAUCUUACAUCUAUACCUGAAUGGGUAAAAUCACUGCAAGUAUUUAACAUCGAAGAUUGCCCGAAGGUGGAAAAUCAAUAAGGUAAAUAAAUUGUUUUGAAUAUAUUAAUACUAUCAUAUCAAGACUGUAUGUUUAGCUUUUGACACUUGUUUUGUCAUGUCUUUCUUAGGAUGCUGAGUUGUCCUUUUUUCAAUGAUGAUAGAAGGAUUAUAACUACUCAAGUCAAAGCCCCUACACAAGAAUAAUAAGUGUAAGUUCUCUUAAAUUUCUCAUAUUUGUUUUAUAAUUAUAAAGUAUUAUUUAUGUUGUUGUUCAUCAUCCAUAAUAAUAUACUAUGUUUAUUUUUGUUGGCAGAUUGAUACUUUUGCUGAUUGCAAGUCUCAUUUCAAGCGUGUUUCUCAGAAUCAGAAUGUGUCUUUACAUUUUAGUUUGUCUAUAGUUUGUUAAAAUAGUUUGGGAUUUUAAAAUGAUUUUUUUUUCGACAGAAAAAAUGAUUGUUUGUGAUAUUGUAUUGUUCAACUCACUUUUUUUGUGUUUAAUUUACUUAAAGGAUUCAUAAUUGUUUCGGUGAAAGGGUGAAUCACCAUUUUUGUUUAUGAAAAGUUUAGGGAAAGAUUAUUGUUUUAUUAAAAUGAUAUCAAUGACCAUUUUGUAGCUGAGAAGAUUUGAUCGCUCGAGGUUACAAGAUGGAACUAUGUGUAUGUUUAGUUAUGCGUAGACAAUAAUUGAGUUUUAUUAGAUUGAUUAUGAUUAAAAGUGAAUUGAAGGUAAAUUGAUUGUGUUUGGACAUAAUCAUAUAAAAAUGAUUUACACAAUAAAUAUGUGUGUUAAAUUCAAUUUUAGACUCAAUUCUGGAUGCAAAAUCAGUUUGUUUAUUUAAAAGUUGUGCUAAGUUGUAUCUGUUUGGUGAAUUCUUUUAAUUUAAUUACAUAUUACUAGUAGGUGGGUCGGUCACAUUAACUUGGUUUGUCUAGUUGUUGUUGUUGAUUAUCCAUUAAGUUUUAGAAUGAGUUUUUUUGUCUUUUGUGCAGUUUAUACAACCGUGAAGAGUAGUUUAUGCAAUGGUCUUUUGUGUAGUUUAUGCAAUAUUUUCAAAAUCCAUUAAUUUGGCUGCAAGUUGUAUUUGGGAAAGAAUUUGAGGGUUUAAGUUCUAUAACUUUCUGUUAUAACAAAUCAGUUGUUUCUUUCUUUCUCUUUAUGUAUCUAUAUGGCUAUUAAGAAAACGGGGAUUAUGUUUGUUGGGAAUAUCUUAGUAAGUUGUGUAUAAUGUGCUAUAAUAAUUUGAGAGAAAAUUUAGGAAGUAAAGAAAAGCAUUUUGAAACAAAAUAACAUGUAGUAGUUGGUCAUUCUUUAUGAAGGAAAUUUUCAGUUUAGCAAGGGCCAAUUAUGUAUUGUGAUGUAUUUUAUCAGCGGAAAACAGUUAAGCUAUUACUUUUUUCACUCUAUUGGUUUCUCACGCGUCUUAUUUUUUUCUUUUCAAAAUAUAAUUUAAUCUGAUUGAAUAAUCAGAUCCAUAUUUCGUAUUAUAUAAUCCGAACUGUUUCAGAGUUGAGCAAACUGUUUAAAAUGAUUUCAUGUAUUUGUGGAUUUAACAAACUUUCAUUAUAUAAUAUAAUAUAAUAUAAAAGAUAAUGAACUUACAAUUAUAUCAAAAAACCAUUAUGUAGUUGUCAAUGAUAUGUCGGUAGGAUUCCAUGUCUUUUAUUUUUCAUUAUAUAAAACAAUUAUCAAAUCUAAGACUUUCAUCUUUUUCAAUCUAGAUUCCAAGUCCAACAAUACAGUUUAUAGAGUAGGAACAAUAAAAAUGAAAAACAUUAUGCAUCCUACCACACCUUAUUCACUUCCCUUCCCAACUUUUUUUUACAUGAAGCCAUUGAAUGUAUAGUAAACAAAUCAUAAAGUUCAUUGUAUGAGACUAUUAUAUUACAAAACAAUCCAAUAUGUAGUGACAAUUCUAGAAAAAAUAAGAAUAGUUAACAACUGAAGCCAUGGCACACAGAAAGAACAAUAAUGAAAAUCAAUGCAAUUAUGAUAGCAAGAACUAUGAGCUUGAUCUUCAUGUUUUGAUACCACAUCUUUCUCCUCAAUUGGGUUCCCUGCUGCCUGAAAUCUUGUGCCUGCACAGCCAUACCAUUUCAAUUGACAUUCCAAUAACUUACAAUCCUCAUAAUUAAUGGAUAAAUUAAGUAGCAUAGAGCAAAGUUUUUGGGACUAAAAAACCUAUUAAAAUUAAGUAAAGAAUAAACUUAGAAGUUCUCAAUUUUAUAAGGACCAAAAACAUAUUUCACCCUUUUAUCAAUUGAGUUUAAAAAAAGCAAUUUUCAUCAUUAUAUCAGAGACAAAUUAACUUGAGUUUUUUCACACAAAAAUCUCCAAAGCAUCAUUGGAUUAUUUUAUUACUUUACCUAAAAUCAUAUUUUAUUUUUAAAAGUCUUAAACAAGUUGUCCUUAGCCAACCGUUGACACUUGAUUCAUUAAUAAAAGACCUAAAUAUGUAAAGCGUCCUUGUAGUUUGACGUGUUUUUGCUUUUCGUCCCUGUAUCUCUUUUUUUCAAAAUUGUCUGUGUAAGUUGUUAAUGUUAUGCUUUUUGUCCCUCCCGUUAGCUUCUAUUACAAAAACGUACACAUGACUAACGGAUGAUGAUGUGGCAGUGGUUGACAUGGCCGCCGUGGCAAAGUGGAUGAUGAGUCACUAGGGAGAGGGACCAAAACCAAAAAGCUAAAUUUGUAGAGGGAUCAAAACCAAAAAACGAGAAAUCGAAAAAUUCAAAUUUAAAAAUAACAACAACUCUACCAUCUUCUUCAUGUCUUUCUUCCACCAUUUUCAUCUAAGCCACACAUAUUCACAGUUUCUUCUACCCAUAUCCUUCAUUUAUAAGUCAAUGUAUUCUCCACAAAAUAGACCAUUAAAUAAUACAAGACUAUUGAAUCUAACAGUGAAUCACCAACACAUAAUUUUACUUUCCUUUUCUUCAUCUUCUUCUUAAUCUUCAUAUGAACUUCAUACCAUAGUCAUGAGCAUCAAGAAAAAAAAAAUCUAGAAAAAAAAAAUUCAACAAAUCACCAUCAUAGCCCACAAAGAAAGUCCACCAGCACAAGUUAGAAGAAAAAAAUUACAACAGUAUCAUCGCCACAAUUAUCAUCAACAUUAUCACUCACCACAAUCAUCGUCAACACAACAUUUAAUUUCAUAAAAAAAUAGAAACCGUAUCAAUGACAAACUUAGAGAAUUAUAUCCAUAAGCCAAAGAAUGAAGGGAAAUGAAAAGGGUGAGAAAAGUGGAAGUAAGCAUCUUAAAAAAUGUAGUGAAUCCUAUCCAGAAGAUCUAUCAACAACAAACCAUGAUUAACAAAUAAUGCUUUUGUUCAAAUUUUCAUAGAGAGGGUAGUCUUUUAGCUCUUGUUUGGUUAAGUAUGGUUACAAUUUGACUAGUUUUCUUCUUUAGGUCUUUUCCUUUCUUGGGAUUGAUCCGGAUUCUCUUUUAAUAGGUUUUACUCUAUGUAUUUCUGUUGUAUUGGUUCAGGCCUAUCCUGUCUGUUAUAUUUUAUUGCUUUGAUAAAAAUAAAAAAACACUAGAAAUCAAUUAUUCCCCGUAACCCAAAAAAUCCAGCAAUUACAAAUAACGAAUUCGAUUUUGAAGGAUUUUUUUUAUGAUUUUGGGUUUCAAUUUUUUAAAGGCAAGAUUAUGAAAAUGAGGAAUGAUUCCGGGUUUCAAUUUUUACGGGCAAGAUUAUGAAAAUGAGGAUGAAGAUGGAGAAUAUGAGGAGGGAAGAAGAAGAGGUGAUAGGUUUCAUGAAGAUUUUUUUUUCUCGGUUAUAUGUGCUAUUAACAUAUAAUUUAUAUGUGGAUUUUUAGCAUGAAUGGAGGAUAUGGGUAGAAGAAAUAGUGAAUAUGUGCGGCUAAGAUGAAAAUGGUUGAGAAAGAUAUGAAGAAGAUGGUAGAAUUGUUAUUCUUAAAUUUGAAUUUUUCGACUUCUCGUUUUUUUGUUUUGGUCCCUCUACAAAUUUUGUUUUUUGGUUUUGGACUUUCUCUGUGUGGCUCAUCAUCCUAGCUAACGGGAGGGACGAAAAGUAUAACAUUAACAACUUACAGGGAUGAUUUUGAAAAGAAAAAAAAAGAUACAAUGUCGAAUUGAAAAAACACGCGAACUUAAGGAUUCAUGAUUAUUAAAAUCUAAUUUAAAUUGAUGGUUAUUAGUUAAAAACAUGGUAGUUAAAACCGAACCGGACCGGCCGGUUCAACCGAUUGAACCGGACCCAUGUCCGGUCCGACUGACUCCCAAAACCGCUGGUUCAAAGAACCGGGUCAACAACCGGAAAACCGGUCAAAAGCCGGAAAAACCGGGAACCACCGGUUCAGACGGUUUUACAGGUUUAGCCGGUUAAGGUUUUAUUUUUUUCCAAAAAAAAUUGAAACGCGUUUCGUUAUUGAUUAAUUUCCAUUUCUUAUCAAUUUGUUCCCUUUUCACACAAUUUUUUUAAAGAUUUGUACAAUUAAUAACAGAGGUUUUUAAUCUCAUUUUGCUUCAAUUGCCACAAGAGUCAAAACAAGAAAAUAUAAUGGUUGAAUCAAAAACAAAUCAACAAAGAUCAGUAAAAACGAAGAGUUAAGAAGAAAGAUUAGAGAGGGAAGGGCAAGCAAGUUAAGGAAUUUAUUAUGUUGAAUUUUCCAUGGAAGCACAAGUGAAGAUUUAAGAGAAGAAAAAAUACAAUUGGAGAGAAGAAUAGUGAACCAUGGGACAAUGACAGUGAGAGAUGAAAAGGCAAAGUAGACGGCUGCAUUUGAUUAUCAGGAUUUCAUAUGACUGUGACAAUUUAUGGUUACUAAUGGGUUGGGCUUAUAAGGAAAGCCCAUGAAGAAUGGCUUUAUUUGAAAAAUAAUUAUAAUUAAUAUAUGCGAAUUAUAAUUGACCAUGUGUGUCUCUAGAAAAAUAAAACUAAAUUGACCAUGUGUAUGUGAGGUGAUCUUUGCGAAUGAUUUUAUAACAUGUUUUUCUUAAUUAUUUACUACAUCGUAAUAAAAAAAAACUAUAAUAAAAUAAUAAAAAAUAUUAUUUAAUUAAAUCCGGUUGAACCCCCGGUCCAACCCCGAUUGAACCUCAAAACCUUAAACCCAUGCCUACACCGAUUUAAUGUCCGGUCCGGUUUUGAUUACCUUGGUUAAAAAUGUACCGAUUGCUUUCAUUAUUCUAAAUCCAAGUAACAGUUUAUGCUCUUUGCAUCUUUUGUUAGUUCACCUUUGUAUUGAAUUUGUGACCCCAUGACUCAUAGUGUUUUGUUUUUUUAGGGAUGUCAUUAAAAAAGGAUAUAUCAUAUUCUGCACAUACACUAUCUAUCCAUUAUUGCUCCUUGAAUUAUUAUUGCUUUUACUAUUGCUUGCUAGUACGUUGUUUCUUUCUUUUGUCUAUCAAUUAUUGCUACUUUAAUUAUUGCUAUCGUUAUUAUUUAUCAAAAAUUAAAUAAAAAAUAUACACAAAGUAUGAUUGAUUUCUUGAAUAUCACUUUUGCUUCAAAAAAAAUCAGACGCUUUGUAAACUAUAUCAUAUCUCUAUAACUCUAUAAGGAUUCAUGAUUGUUAAUAUCUAAUUUCAAUGGUUUGGAAACUAAAUUGAUGGUUAUUUGUUAAAAAAUGUACUGCGUGCAGUCAUUAUUCUCAGUUAAGAUAGCAAUAGAAGAUAACUCAUCAUUUUGUGCGUUACUCACAUAUAUAUAUCCUUCUCAGUUAAGAAAUCUAAAAGGAUGGUGUAACUGUAGCAAAGAAGAAAUCUCAAGGGGUUGUAGUCAUCAGUCUCAGAGUAUUGAAUACUUAUCGAUUGAUGAUUGUUAUAAGCUAGUUUCAAUUCCUCAACACACAUAUAUCAAGAAAGUAACUCUUAGAAAGGUCACAGAGAAGAUAUUAAAGCAAGUAGUCAAUUAUUCCAAAGUAGAGUAUCUUCAGAUGUUUUUCAUGCUCAAUUUGAAAUCUCUUAGUGGAGUCUUUCAACAUCUAAGUACACUGUGUGAAUUGCGUAUCCGCUAUUGUGAGGAGUUUGAUCCAUGCAAUGAUGAAGAUGGUUGUUAGAGCAUGAAAUGGAAAGAACUCACCAAACUCAAAGUUUUGGAGUUCCAUGCAAUCCCAAAAAUGAAAAAUUUACCUAAGGGGCUUCAGCACAUUACCACUUUACAAACUCUAAGAAUCAGAAAUUGUGAGAAUCUUACAUCUAUACCUGAAUGGGUAAAAUCACUGCAAGUAUUUGAUAUCAAAGAUUGCCCGAAGGUGGAAGAUCAAUAAGGUAAAUAAUAUGUUUUGAAGUACUAUCAUAUCAAGACUUGAUUUUUAGCUGUUGACACUUGUUUUUUCAUGUCUUUCUUAGGCUGUUGAGAUGUCCUUUGAAUCAAGAAUGAUAGAAGGAUUAUAACUACUCAAGUCAAAGCCCCUACACAAGCAUAAUAAGUGUAAGUUCUCUUAAAUUUCUCCUAUUUGUUUUAUAAUUAUAAAGAAUUUUAUGUUGUUUUUUAUCAUCCAUAAUAAUCUACUAUGUUCUUUUUUGUUGGCAGAUUUAAACUUAUGUUGAUUUAAAGUGUCUUUCUCAGGAACCAGAAAGUGUCUUUACAUUUUAAUUUGCUUAUAGUUUGUUAAAAUAGUUUGGUAUUUUUAAGAUGAUUAUUUGUGAUAUUUAUUGUUCUGAAACUGCAUAAUCAGUUAAGGUUCUACCAUGUUAAUAAAUGUAAUAAAGUCUUCUUUCCCUUUGCACAUCAUUUACAAUUAUGUUGGAACUGUAUACCAUGCACAGAGAGACUAUAAAUAAUAAUUUUUAGAGGUUUUCUUUUCCCACCAUCCUCGCUUCUCGCGCCACUCCGUUUUGACUAUUUUACCCUGUUUGAAUUUUAUAAUCCGAAUCGUAUUCGGAUUAUAUAAUGUAAAAUGACUAUUUUAUGUUGCGUGAAUUCUUCUAAUUACAUAUUGUCAAGUUUUUGUUGUUGGACUUAAUCGAUAUUGCAUGGUGCUUUCUUCUUAAAUGUUUUGUGACUUUUCAAAGAAAACAGGAGGAAAGCAGCAACAAUAGUGAUUAGCAUAUCCAAUUGACAAUUUUUAAUACGUCGCUAUCAUCAAAAUUCUCAAAAGGUAAAACACAUUUUGUUCCAACAGUUUCGUGUUUGACCUUGCCGCCGCUAAACGCAACACCAUCAAUCGACAAUCACGCAGCCUCUUUGAUCAGCCAUCAGUGUUGACUGGUCUCGAAAUUAAAGGAGGUUUUAGCUUUUGUAAAGGGUGUGAAAUUUGAGAGACUAAAAGUGUGAUUUCCAAACUAGAGGGGCCAAAAUAGCAAGUUUUGGAAACUUCGGGAACUAAAAGUGCAUUUUAGUCUUCCUUUAGAUUGUGUAAUUCGAACCAUAUUUUAGAUUAUAUACUUUCAACUAUCACAAAAUGAGCAAAUUACUUGAAAUGAUUUCAUGUCUUUGUGGAUUUAACAAAUUUUCAUUAUAUAAAAUAGUAUAAAAGACAAUGAAUUUAUAAAAAAUCAUUAAGUAGUUGUUAAUGAUAUGUCGGUAAGAUUUCAUGUCUUUUAUUUUUCAUUAUAUAAAACAAUCAUCAAGUCCAAACCUUUCAUCUUUUUUCCAUCUCAACUCCAUGUCCAACCUUCUUAACAAGCAACAACCUUCUUAAGGUCAAGAUUUACAACAAGGUACAACCUGCUUCGACUAAUCUAUUAGGUUGCCUACUAGCUCCUAUGACCUGAAGUACCCAUCCUAACCAAAUCAUACCAUAUGAUCACUAUCAUUAUUUUGAGACUUCAUUUUGUUCAUUUUGGUUGAAUCACUUUUUAUUGAUGUCAUAUGAAUCAAAUCAAACAUAAUGUUUUCAUCCUUCAAAAAAAGAAUUCAUUUCGUUUAUGGUAUUUAAUGGACAUAAUUUCGAUAUAUGGUCUAGACAUUUCUUGAACAUGAUAUGAGCUUACAAGGAUCACAUAUAAUAGAUGGAUAUAACUUGAGCAAAUAUUGAACAUAAAAAUGGUCAUGAUCUUGACAUUAAUAUGAACAUAAAUUGACCAUUAAGAAUUGAAAACCAAAUUGUUUUUUUUAUUGGAUGAAAACAUUCCGUUUUAUUUUUUUAGGACUAAAAUUUACAUAUUUUUAGAAACGAAAAACUUAUUUCAAUCUACUUAUGAUUACGUUUUCAGUUUUAUCUCUUCAAUUAUAAUGAAUGAAAUGUCUUGAGCUUGUUUGAGUUAAAUAUACUAGGUGCCAAUUAAUUCUACUCUACAACAAAAUAAUAUUCAGCAAGCUUGCUACAGACAGAGCAUGACCAUUUAUAUUGGAAGUGGUUGGCUCAUUGGCUAUAGUCACAAGAUUAUGUUGAAUCAAAUUCUCAACCCUUCUGCUCAACUACUUUAUAAAUUAAUUCUGAAUCUAAUUAUUGAUCUUCCAAGUUAAUCACUACAUGAUUAACAUCAUUGACAAGGCUAACAUCAGUUUCCUUGGCAGUAACAUCUAGCAUAGGAUGACUAGAUUUCUUUUUAGAGAUAGCAUUGGAAAAAGCCUUCGUCAAAUUCUUUUGGACAAUUGGAUUGCUGGGCUGGAAAUGAGUCGAGUCGAGUCGAACUUGUCUGAGCUCGGCUCGACUCGAUAAGAAUUGAUUCGGCUCGAAACUCGACUCGAGUCAGACUAUAUAUAACUCAAGUUCAACUCAUUUAGUUAACGAAUUUAAUUUUUAGCUCAAGUUCGGCUCAUUUGGUUCAUGAAUCAAGUUCAACGAACUAAUUACCGAGUCAAGUUCUGAACUUUAUUCGAGUUGUAUCGGUUCAUUGUCAGCCCUUUGCUAUUAACUAAAUUUUGGCAAUUUUGUAUUGAGUGUCCAAUUGAUCGACAAUUUUGAAAGGAGAAGACAUCCUUAAAAAAAAAUGUACUGAUUGCUAAGCAUUAUUUCAAGGGUGUGUUUGUUUCAUCUUAAAAAAAAAAAAAUUGUGUAAAAAAAAUCUAGAGAUUUUUUCUAUAGAUUUUAACCUUGUGUAAAAAUAAUUAUUCUUAAAAUCCUAAUCAAACAAUAAAAAAUGAAAAAAGUAAUUAUAUAAGAUUAAAUGAUUUUUGCAUAGGUCUCACAUCUUUUCUUUGUAUUUUGGGGAAAAGUCAAAUCCUUUGUUAAUGCAUGGUUGUUGUGAAUUUGUGACCCACAAUAUGUUAUCCAGUUCAAGAAUACGUAUGGUUCUCUUAAAAAAAGUUUGCCAAAAUAAUUAUUCUGGUUUGGUGACAUCUUUAUAUACUAAAUCAUAUAUCUUAUAAGGACACUAUCCCCUCUAAAAACUUGUACCGUGUAAAUUCAGUCCCUCAUACCACUUGUGAGAAAAAUGGCUGAAGGUCUUCUGUUUAACAUGAUUCAAAAGCUGAUCGGGAAGCUGGGUUCUAUGGUUGUUGAAGGCUGGAACAUGUGAGAAGAUCUUGACUAGCUGGUGGAUAAUAUGUCUGAGAUCAAGGCUGUGGUUUUGGAUGCAGAGGAGCAGCAAAGAUGCUCUUGAUGAUGCUGAUGACUUGCUCGAUGACUUCAACACCGAAGACUUGAGGCGACAAGUGAUGACCAGUAACAAGAAGGCUAAAAAGUUUCACAUCUUCUUCUCAUCAUCCAACCA
rnacentral:lncRNA from 1 species